rnacentral:rRNA from 1 species
CUGGAGGUAUCAGAAGUGCGAAUGCUGACAUAAGUAACGAUAAAGCGGGUGAAAAGCCCGCUCGCCGGAAGACCAAGGGUUCCUGUCCAACGUUAAUCGGGGCAGGGUGAGUCGACCCCUAAGGCGAGGCCGAAAGGCGUAGUCGAUGGGAAACAGGUUAAUAUUCCUGUACUUGGUGUUACUGCGAAGGGGGGACGGAGAAGGCUAUGUUGGCCGGGCGACGGUUGUCCCGGUUUAAGCGUGUAGGCUGGUUUUCCAGGCAAAUCCGGAAAAUCAAGGCUGAGGCGUGAUGACGAGGCACUACGGUGCUGAAGCAACAAAUGCCCUGCUUCCAGGAAAAGCCUCUAAGCAUCAGGUAACAUCAAAUCGUACCCCAAACCGACACAGGUGGUCAGGUAGAGAAUACCAAGGCGCUUGAGAGAACUCGGGUGAAGGAACUAGGCAAAAUGGUGCCGUAACUUCGGGAGAAGGCACGCUGAUAUGUAGGUGAAGUCCCUCGCGGAUGGAGCUGAAAUCAGUCGAAGAUACCAGCUGGCUGCAACUGUUUAUUAAAAACACAGCACUGUGCAAACACGA